UAGAGGAAGUAAAAGUCGUAACAAGGUCUCCGUAGGUGAACCUGCGGAGGGAUCAUUACCGAGCGAGGGCCCCCGGGCCCGACCUCUCAACCCCAUGUUGCCCGACACUGUUGCCUCGGGGGCGACCCGGCCCUCCGGCGCCGGGGCCCCCGGUGGACCGUUAAACACUGCAUCCGUGCGUCCGAGUCAAAUGAUAAAUCAAUCAAAACUUUCAACAACGGAUCUCUUGGUUCUGGCAUCGAUGAAGAACGCAGCGAAAUGCGAUAAGUAAUGUGAAUUGCAGAAUUCAGUGAAUCAUCGAAUCUUUGAACGCACAUUGCGCCCUCUGGUAUUCCGGGGGGCAUGCCUGUUCGAGCGUCAUUUCACCACUCCAGCCUGGCUGGGUAUUGGGCGUCGCCGCGUCGGCGCGCCCCAAUGUCUCCGGCUAAGCCGUCCGUCUCAAAGCGUUGUGGCAACUCAAUCCGCUUGCGGGACGCGUCGGUUCGACGCCGUUAAAUCCAUCUCAAGGUGACCUCG
rnacentral:misc_RNA from 1 species